ensembl:miRNA
CCCAACAUGCUGGAACCAGCUGUUUUAACUAGUUCUGGUUGGCUCCGGUAUGUUUCAGCGA